rnacentral:rRNA from 1 species
CCUAUGGUUUGUAAACUGCUUUUGAAUGGGAGAAAACCUUUCUACGUGUAGAAAGCUGAUAGUACCAUUAGAAUAAGCAUCGGCUAACUUCGUGC